rnacentral:lncRNA from 1 species
CAGAGCGUGACGGUGGACGCCGCGCAGCACAAGGUGACGGUGACGGGGACCGUGGACGCCAGCACGCUCGUCCAGAGGCUGCACAAGUCCGGCAAGAAGGGGGUGCCCUGGGAUUGCCACCCGCCCGCCAACAAGACCGAGGCCGCGCCUGCUCCGGCGCCGGCGCCGGAGGCCCUGCCGCCUCCGGCGGCGAAGCCUGCCGGUGACGCCGGCAAGGAUGCUGCUGCUGCGGCGGCGGCGGACAAGAAGCCGGAGGAGGCGGUGAAGGAGCCGAAGGCCGAGAGCCCCGAGAAGAAGAAGCCAGAGGAGGCGGUGAAGGAGCCGAAGGCCGAGAGCCCCGAGAAGAAGAAGCCGGAGCAGGAGGGCGCCGGCGCAGAGAAGAAGCCGGAAGCAGAGUCGAAGGCGGAGAAGAAAGUGGAGGCGAAGAAGGAGGGCGGUGAUGACGAGGCAGCUGAGCCCAAGGCCAAGGGCGCAGAGCCCGCAAAGGAAGAAGCGAAGGAGGCCGUCGCCGCCGCUACCAAGGAUGAGGACGAGGCGAAGAAGGUGAAGGACGAAAAGCCCAAGGACGCCGGCAAGGCAGAGCCCGCCGCCGUGACGGAGAGGUCCCUGUCCUCGCCGCCACCGCCGGCGCCCAAGCACGCGUACUACGAGGAGGAGUACCGCCGCCCCUACUACCCGACGCCGCAGCCGGUGCUGAGCUACCACGCGGCACAGCCGAGCGCGAGCGUGUCCUACUUCGCGCCGCAGCCGCACGCGGCGGCGUACUCCAUGCAGCAGCCGCAGCCGCAGGCGGCGUACUCGACGCACCAGCCGCCGCAGCAGCAAAUGCGGCAGUGGUCGCCUUCGUACCUGUACCUUCCGUACCCGCACGCGGCGCCGGAGCCGUACCACCACCAGGACUACUAUAGCCCGCCGGGGAUGCACGCGUCGCCACCGCCGAUGCAGGACUCGUACCGCAUCUUCGACGACGAGAACCCCAACUCCUGCAGCGUCAUGUGAGAGUUGACCGGCGCGCCCGCCCCGGCCGCCGCCGGCCGCCGUGCCGUGGGCAAGUAGUUGGGGAGGCGGCACCGCAACCGCAAUAGAGACCUCUCUGUGGUUGUAGGUAGAGUAGCCUGUUACUCUCUUCCACUAAGAGGUCAAACCUCUCUCCAUGACAGAGCCUCUCCUCUUUUUCCAUUUUCUUUAUUAUCCUUUUACUGUUCUAAUCAAGUAAUUAUAGAGCAUGUAAAUUGUAAUGAGAUACGCCCUUUACUUGUAGUUAAUUCCACUAC